GACGAACGCUGGCGGCGUGCUUAACACAUGCAAGUCGAACGGAAAGGCCCUGCUUUUGUGGGGUGCUCGAGUGGCGAACGGGUGAGUAACACGUGAGUAACCUGCCCUUGACUUUGGGAUAACUUCAGGAAACUGGGGCUAAUACCGGAUAGGAGCUCCUGCUGCAUGGUGGGGGUUGGAAAGUUUCGGCGGUUGGGGAUGGACUCGCGGCUUAUCAGCUUGUUGGUGGGGUAGUGGCUUACCAAGGCUUUGACGGGUAGCCGGCCUGAGAGGGUGACCGGCCACAUUGGGACUGAGAUACGGCCCAGAAUCCUACGGGAGGCAGCAGUGGGGAAUAUUGCACAAUGGGCGGAAGCCUGAUGCAGCAACGCCGUGUGCGGGAUGACGGCCUUCGGGUUGUAAACCGCUUUCGCCUGUGACGAAGCGUGAGUGACGGUAAUGGGUAAAGAAGCACCGGCUAACUACGUG
rnacentral:rRNA from 1 species